ensembl:processed_transcript
AGUCUCAGUGCAUUCUAGACAGCCUGUGCUCUGCCCAAGUCCCCACCGGGAUGCCUAUCCCUAGAAAACUAAAGUCAGCUCCAGCCCCUCCACCAUCCACCAUGCAGGGCAAAGUCGACAGAGGCGUGCCUCCCUACUAGAGAACUUUGGCCGCAGCUUGUAGACAGCUUAGACGGGACAACGACCAGGGACAGCGAGCAGACAGGAGCCCUAAGGCUUAUUACUCUUUAGGAGUAUCAGUCAGCUGGUUGCUGCCGCUGCUACAACCGACCCAGCCACAGCUGGAAUACCCUCAACCUGGGCAGUGACUACUGUGCUCUACACAGUCAGCGGCUGAAGGGCAGUCUCGUGCCAGCCAUUGAAAAUGCUCAAGGCACACAUCCCUGCUGACCUUCCCCAAGACCAUGGAGAGGCAGCUGAGUCCUUAGUUUGAGGAAGACAGGAUAACAGCCUGUUCCCGCUGCUAGAGGCCAGUGAGAUGGAGAGGCUUGCAGAGGUCACUGAUCAAUGGAUCACAGACUCUCAAGCUCAGCAGUGGUGGCCCAGGACUUUAAUUCUAGGACUCAGAAGGCAGAGGCGGGCAGAGUUCGAGGCCAACCUGGUGGUCUACAGAGCAACGGGACAGCUGGGAGUAUGCAGUGAAACCCUACCUCGAAAAGACAAACAAACAAACGAAAUAUCAUAGAUUCUCCAUCUAUGACACCGCUUGACACCAUCGGGCGGAACGCACAACAGUAAACGCCCCCGCCGCGACCAAUCAGCGAUUGCCGCACACCUCUGCCUUGGCCAAUCCACAGCGAUUUUGCAGUUCCACCCCUUACCUAGGGUGUGCGGAAGCUGGGGCGCCCCGUGCCCAACCUGGGGAGUGUCCAGAGCCUGUUCCUCCCCCAGCACACCCCCGCGGUGUCCUUCAGCUCCAAACUAAGGAAAACAAAUGCCAGCCUCCUCCCUCUGACCCACAUGUCUCAACUCUA